UGAUGAUUAGCUAGUUACUUCAAACUAUAAGAUGUUUUGAUGAUUAGCUAGUUACUUCAAAACUAUAAGAUAUGUUAUAGAUUGCCUAGUUACUUCAAAACUAUAAGAUGUUUUGAUAAAUAGCUAGUUACUUCAAAACUAUAAGAUGUUUUGAUAAUUAGCUAGUUACUUCAAAACCAUAAGAUGUUUUGAUAAUUAGCUAGUUACUUCAAAACUAUAAGAUGUUUUUGAUGAUUAGCUAGUUACUUCAAAACCAUAAGAUAUGUUUGAUAAUUAGCUAGUUACUUCAAAACUAUAAGAUGUUUUUGAUGAUUAGCUAGUUACUUCAAAACCAUAAGAUGUGUUUGAUAAUUAGCUAGUUACUUCAAAACUAUAAGAUGUUUUGAUGAUUAGCUAGUUACUUCAAAACUAUAAGAUGUGUUUGAUAAUUAGCUAGUUACUUCAAAACCAUAAGAUGUUUUGAUAAUUAGCUAGUUACUUCAAAACUAUAAGAUGUGUUUGAUAAUUAGCUAGUUACUUCAAAACUA
ensembl:lncRNA